UGGGGAAUAUUGCACAAUGGGCGCAAGCCUGAUGCAGCCAUGCCGCGUGUGUGAAGAAGGCCUUCGGGUUGUAAAGCACUUUCAGCGGGGAGGAAGGCGAUAAGGUUAAUAACCUUGUCGAUUGACGUUACCCGCAGAAGAAGCACCGGCUAACUCCGUGCCAGCAGCCGCGGUAAUACGGAGGGUGCAAGCGUUAAUCGGAAUUACUGGGCGUAAAGCGCACGCAGGCGGUUUGUUAAGUCAGAUGUGAAAUCCCCGGGCUCAACCUGGGAACUGCAUCUGAUACUGGCAAGCUUGAGUCUCGUAGAGGGGGGUAGAAUUCCAGGUGUAGCGGUGAAAUGCGUAGAGAUCUGGAAGAAUACCGGUGGCGAAGGCGGCCCCCUGGACGAAGACUGACGCUCAGGUGCGAAAGCGUGGGGAGCAAACAGG
rnacentral:rRNA from 1 species